GAAUGUAUAACUCAGAAGUAGAGCGCGUGCUCAGCAUGCAUGAGGUCCUGGGUUCAAUCCCUGGUACCUCCA
rnacentral:tRNA from 1 species